rnacentral:rRNA from 1 species
UACGUAGGGUGCAAGCGUUGUCCGGAAUUAUUGGGCGUAAAGAGCUCGUAGGCGGCUUGUCGCGUCGUCCGUGAAAACCCACGGCUUAACUGUGGGCUUGCGGUCGAUACGGGCAGGCUGGAGUUCGGUAGGGGAGACUGGAAUUCCUGGUGUAGCGGUGAAAUGCGCAGAUAUCAGGAGGAACACCGGUGGCGAAGGCGGGUCUCUGGGCCGAUACUGGCGCUGAGGAGCGAAAGCGUGGGGAGCGAACAGG